UCCAUUAAAGCUUGUUUACAGUGUUCUGUCAGUUUUCUACUAUACAGCAAGGUGACCCAGCCACACUAAUUUUUUUUUUUAGUAAACAAUUUCAUAUUUUUAAUUAUAUAACCAAUUUUAAUUACAGGAAAUGUAAUGGUUUCUUUAUUGACUUAUUUUGCUAGGGCUGUUCAGCUCUCAAUGGGGCAAAUUAUCAUAAAGGUUCUAACGUGAUCAACCUCAGUCAGACCUUGAUGCCCCAGCAGGGGUGUACCUACAUUGAGAAGAGUCGAACAUACAAUCUUAAAGGACAACCAGAUGUCAGAGUCUGAAAAUAUCAGGGCAAGUUUUGUAUAAUUCAUUGGCCUCAGACAAAGACCACUAGAAGUUAUUCUUUGAAAACUUUCUCAGAAAAAUAAAUAAAUAAAUAAAUUUGACCCAAGGUCAUAUGUUCUUUGUUUUCAGUUACUUUAGGGACAAUUUCUAAGAUUAAUGAUAGAAUCAUUUGAUUCAAUUUGAAAAUGAUGUUUUUCUUCCUUUCUAAAUAGCGUAUAUUCUCACUGUGAAUAUCCAAAUAUAAUUUCAUUGGUUUUCCCCUGGCAUCAAUGGUAGUUCAGAGAAAGAGAAGUUACAUAAGUGAUAUAAUAAAUUAUAUAAAAUGUUGCCACAUAAAUCCCAUAGCAGUUACUUUUCUAAAUGUUCAAAUAAAUGAUGUAGAAAAAGUGGAUUAUUAUGGUUGAAUGAUACUGAUUUGCCUCUGUCUAAAUAAGAACUAUUAAUCAUUAGGGAAUAUUAGCAAACUCUUUGUCAAAACAUUAUUUACAUACGUAAUUAAAAUUUGAAAAUGAAAACAUUCCAAGCAAGAUGACAUUAUGAUUAAGUCUGAAUUUCAUUCUAAUUUUUCUUUCUUUUCAUUUAUUUUUUUAGUCAGAUGAUUCAGAAAUAAGAUUUGCAGAACAGUCCUACUUCACAGAAACACAUUUACUUUUAGAUGAAUCACGACGGUGGUCUCAAGAUUGGCAUUGGUAUUGGUGUUUCUUAGUUAAUUAUUCUUUUAUUACAUGGAUUAAAAAAUCAGUCCAAGUUAAUAUUUCAAAGCCAUUACUUCUAAAAAUGUUUUCGUAAUUAGUGAAUUUCAAAUCUGUUGAUAGUGACAUUGCCCAUAGACUGAAGAGCCAUUAACUAAAGCACUUUUCAGAUGGGCUUCAUGUGACAACUACAUUAUUUUCCUAAUUAUUUGGAAAGAUAAGGACAGAGAGUUUUCCAGGAUAGUGUCACAAUUCAUUAAAUGACAUUUAGCAUGAAAUCUUGGUUAAAGACUAAAACCUGGCAAUUUCUAUAGCAUUGCCAUUCUAGAAAUAAUAUUUUGUCUCCUGUUCCUUGAAGAUAUUUCCCAAUUGCUACUUUUAUAAAUGAACUGUUCCCCUGUUAAAUACUUUCACCUAGAGAAAGAGAAUAGGUAAAAAGGGAAUGUAUUCCACAGCUGAGGUGUCCUUCUAUCCUUUGAGAUGAAACCAAUGAGGACACAUAAGUUAAUACAAGACAUCUGACUGUAUGUUCUCAUCUUAUAAGAAAUGAAAUAAUAUUAAAACAAAGUAUGGUUCCAAAAAACCAUAAAAGGCUUUUUCCCCCUUUUCACGGCUGUACCUGUGACAUAUGGAAGUUCCCAGUCUAGGGGUCAAAUUGGAGUUGCAGCUGCUGGCCUACACCACAGCCACAGCAACUCAGGAUCUGAGCCAUAUCUGCAUCUUACACCCCUGCAGCUAGAAGCAACACGGGAUCCUUAACACAAUGAGUAAGGCCAGGGGCCAAACCUGCAUCCUCAUGGAUACUAUGUUGGGUUCUUAACCUGCUGAGCCACAGUGGGAACUCCAGAAAAGGCUUUCUUAAUGAGAAAAUGUCUGUCCCAAAGUCCAUGCCCCUCUAUUCAUAAGAGAAUCCCUUACCCAGAGACUAUUAGUUUAAAAUUGUAUGCAAAAUAAUUUCAGUGGCUAAACAUUUGGUUUCUUUUAGUAUCAUGUGGUUCUUCCCAUGGCAAAGAAAAAACAACCUGACAGUGUUACAGGAGCAGAAAGAAGUAUUCACUUACUAGUGGGAAAAUGGACAGAGAUUCAGAGGACAUAGCUCAGUCUGUUCCCGCUGGGAGCCCACAAUCAGAAAGCUAUCAGGAAGGCAUCCUGAAAAGUUACACCUGAGACAGGUUUAGGAACACAGACUAAAAUUUUUCCAAGAGAGAGAGCAGAACAAGGGCAUUCUGGGAUGAGAGAAGAAUAUGAUAUAUUUAGGGACUGACAGCCCAUUAGAAAAUGUUGACGAAUAAAGUGUUUUUGGGGAAUGGAGAAAGAUGAGCCUAAAAAGGAAGCAAGGGGCGAUCACUGAAGAAUCUGAUAUGUCAAGCUAAGAAAUUUGACUACAUCCAAUCAGGAAUGAGAAGCCAUUUAGGUGCUUUAAAUAGAGGAGUGUCGUGAUUUUGCUUCAGAAAGAUUUUGUAGACGACAGGAUGGAAAACGUAUCAAGGAAGGCAGGGACCAGGUGCGGGGAACUUGGAUUUAGGCGUGAGUAAUGAGCAAGGGAAGAUGGCCCUGAGAGAGUAAUGAGCAGGAGUAGACGUUUAUUGACACUGCAUGUGAAGGGGUUGGGGAAAAGGAAGGGUCUCGUGGAAAACACAAGUGUUUGAUUGAAGUAUCGGGAUGGGUUGUGGUAGCACUGACUAAGAAAGGGAGUUGAGGAGGAAGAAAGAGUUGUGAGAGAGACUGAUGAGUUUUCUUUGAUUGACUUUAAGUGCUUAGGAGAUCUGCAUGGAGAGGCAUCCAAAAGACAGUUGGACUUCCAGAUCUUGGGGAGAGGGAUGGGUGCCAGUGAUAGAAAUUGAAUAUAGGCGUCGUCCCUUAGACAUACAUGGCCAAAGCCAUUCGAUGAGCUUCCACAGAGAUACUGUAACAGGGUCAGAGGACAGUUACUAAGGCAGAUCACUAUUUAAAAGUACUCAUUGAAAUAUAAUGAUCAGAGAGCAAUGAGAAAGAUUAGAAAAGUAAGAGAUAAAGUAUAAAAACACAGUACCACUGAAAGUAAAGGAGGAUGAGAGUUUCAAAAUGAGAGUGUUAAACAGGGUCAAAGAAUGCAGAGGCACUGAGUGGGAUAUAAAGAGAGAAAUGUCCACUGAUAGUGGUGAUAGGGAGCCUCUUGAUAUCGUCUAAAGUAGUUUUAGUGGAAUGAUAGAAGCAGCAGCAAAUUGCACUUGGAUGAAGAAUGAAUAAGAAGCAAGAAAACAAGCUAUCUUGUUUAGGCUUCUUGUGGAGGUUGCUUGGAUGAAAAGAAGGAGAGAGAUAGGACUCUUAGGGUAAACAGAGUUCAGAAUUUCAGCACACAUUUUCUCCCUGAGUGGAAGGAGCAUUAGAGAGGGACCAUGGGAGAUACAGAUGAGGAAAUACUCUACUACUGCUAAUCAAAAAAAGUGGAGCAGAUAACAUGUUUAAUCACAUUAUAUGGCAGGCGCUGUAUUAGGCACUUUACAUGAUUUAUUAUUUUUUAAUCCUCAGAUGAAGAUCUCUGAGGUAGUGGAUAAUCAAAAGGAAAGGUUGAAAUUUGUGGAAGUUACAGAGUCAUUAAAAGAAGAUAUAAUAAUAACCUCAAGUAACAAGUAAUACUAGCAGUUACUCUUGGUGAGGAAAGAAAAAUAAUUUCUUGCUUGCAGAUUUACAUUCCAUUAUCUGGAAAAUUUCAAGUAGAACACCUGAUUUAUUUGCAUUGAAUGAUGUGGACCUAUAAUAUUUGGGCAAUAUGUAGUUAUCUGUUGCUUUUCAUGGUAAUGGAGAAAACCAUUGGUAAGGACACACUAAAAUAAUACAUAAUCCAAGCAAUUCUUUUGGUUUUAGAAUACUAUUUCUUUAUUAAAUAUUUUAGAAUACUAUUUGGUAUUCUACUCUUUUGGUUUUAGAAUACUAUUUAUUAAAUAUUUUGCAUCAGACUUCUCUAGCCACAUUCUUCCUAGACAGAUAUUAAAAUUAGCUCACAAUAUAUAAUCACUUACUGCAAAGCCAAGAGGACAAAGGGGUUCUUGGGAAUUUCAAGGAUCUUAAGUUAGAAUGGGGUUAGAUAGAACCUUGUUAACUGCAGACAAAUCAGAUAUCUGAGCAGGGGUUGGGUUUUGGAACCAGAGUUGUUCCCUGAAUUAAAGAAGACCUGAGGAGGGAACUCAAUUCUAGGUGUCACAAGGGAAUAAGGAAAGACACGCUCUGAUAUCAAAACUGAGACACAAUCCAAGGCCAUUAGUCAGGAUGUUGCUGCAAGAGAUUUCACCGAAUCCCUCCUGAACUGGAUGGGAAAAGAGCGUGAGGAAGACGACAUGGCUGAGUAGGCUGGUUGGGCUGGAGAAAUGCUGAAGCCCAGGAGAAUGAAGAGACUGGAAUAAGUGAUGAAAUGACAAGCCGUAGCAGGGAUAACUUUUUGUUUUGUUUAUGAUUCACUGUUUGUAUCAAAUCGAUUUCUGAAUGAUUUGAGACAGCUAAAUCUGCGAUUACAACUUCUGUGCAAGUAAUCAGAUGUUAUGAAUUAAUAUGGUGUUUUCCAUACCGGCAUGAAAGAUAUAGUGGAUAUAGAAUUGAGCCAACAAGAUUAUUUUAACCAAAAGUGAUCCAGUUUAUGGGAGGUUAUUGAUUUCCUUCCACCUGAGAAAUUACUGUACUCUCUUCGAUUACAGAAAAUUCUAGAAUGGCUGAUGAAUAGCCAUCUGACUUUCAAAGUCAUCUACAAAAUGACCGUAUGUUCACAGGUGGUCACUGUGGAGAGAAAACAUCACCUAACUCCCUAAUUCAUCUGCCAAUUCACUCUGUAUCACAAGUGAUCUGUUUACCACAGUGAGAGGGAAAUGGAUGCAGACAUAGGGAGGUGUUUUCUGUCAGGACUGUGUGAACAGGAAACGCCAUGGUCAUGAAACUGUGCUGUCAGAAAGCCUGAUUGUGCAAAGUACCAGGGCUUGACCCCGGUCUAGGUGUGAGGCUCUUCAGGUGGAAAGGCACAGAGGCUUCGAUGCACAUCCUAAUCCUGGCUUAGCCUGAGGAAUCUAUUUUGGGGUAUUUCUAUGUGCUUAGGUUUUUGUGUAGGGAUCCCAAGAAUGAAAGAGACAUGUGAAGACACUUUCACAUCUGGAAAACACCUGAGCCAAGAUGGAAAAGCAUUUGGAUUUUCUUCCGCAAUUGGUUUUACAUAUAUUCUAUCUCUUAAUGUGCUUGAAAGCUAUCAAUAGGCAUAAGUUUCCUUUUUCUUCCACAUUUUAAAACAGUAUCUAGAGCUGUCUUUUACAUGAAGUCAUUUAAAAGAAAAGACCAUUUUCCUAAAACUUAAAAUAAAUGUACUGGAUAUUUCUGUUUUCUGCACUAAGCACAAUUUUUCUUUGCAACCCCUUGUCACGGUUCACAUUCAAAAUGUAAGACACUCUAAAUUCUGCACAACGUUCCCAACAGAAAUGUCUGUGUGACUUACGUUGAAAAUGCAUUAUUCUGCUUUUCACAUCGUAUGCCUUUGCAGCUUAACCCUUUUGUUUCUUCAUAAUAGAAGUACAGCUGAUUUAGGCCAUUUGCAAAUGCUAGCAGCACGAGGCAGUAGAUGAAUAGAAACUUGAGAAUGUCCAGGAGCAUCCUUCCCAGAGAUAUCUGCAGAGGCCCCAGGGGGAAGACGAGCAGCUGGCAUAGCUGUCCUAGAUAAGCUCUGCGAUUCAUAAUUGCCCAGUUCCUCUCCUGUGGUCCAAACUCGUCUCUGUGAAAGGUACCUCUGGCUGUCAUCUGUCCCGCUGUGGGGGCUUGGACCACAGGGAACCAAGGCUGGGACUGUUGUGUAAAUAAUUUGUCUGUUCUCUGACCCAGAAACCUUAUUUCUUCUCAGGAAUAAAUCAAAAUGUAAACA